rnacentral:rRNA from 1 species
UACGAAGGGGGCUAGCGUUGCUCGGAAUUAUUGGGCGUAAAGGGUAGGUAGGUGGUCUCAUUUGUCUGGGGUGAAAGCCUUGAGCUUAACUCAAGAAGUGCCCCAGAAACGGUGAGACUAGAGUCCUGGAGAGGGUCGUGGAAUUCCCGGUGUAGCGGUGAAAUGCGUAGAGAUCGGGAGGAACACCAGAGGCGAAAGCGGCGGCCUGGACAGGAACUGACACUCAACUACGAAAGCGUGGGGAGCAAACAGG